AAUAAAAAGUCUGCUUGGGACCAAGCAUGGAAGAUUAUGCCUGUAAUCCCAGCUAUACCUUUGAAGCUGAGUCGGGAGGAUGACUUGGACCCAGGAGUUCAAGGCUGCAAUGAACUAUGAUUGGGUCACAGCACUCCAGCCUGGGUAACACAUCUCUGAGAAAUAAAAAAUUUAAAAAUAAAAAUAUAAUAAAAUGGCCAGUGCUGUUGCUCAUGCCUGUAAUCCCAGCACUUUGGGAGGCUUAGGCAGGUGGAUAGCUUGAGUCUAGGAGUUUGAGACCCCAUCUCUACAAAAA
rnacentral:lncRNA from 10 species